rnacentral:rRNA from 1 species
GAUGAACGCUGGCGGCGUGCCUAAUACAUGCAAGUCGAGCGAACAGACGAGGAGCUUGCUCCUCUGACGUUAGCGGCGGACGGGUGAGUAACACGUGGAUAACCUACCUAUAAGACUGGGAUAACUUCGGGAAACCGGAGCUAAUACCGGAUAACAUGUUGAACCGCAUGGUUUAACAGUGAAAGACGGUCUUGCUGUCACUUAUAGAUGGAUCCGCGCCGCAUUAGCUAGUUGGUAAGGUAACGGCUUACCAAGGCAACGAUGCGUAGCCGACCCGAGAGGGUGAUCGGCCACACUGGAACUGAGACACGGUCCAGACUCCUACGGGAGGCAGCAGUAGGGAAUCUUUCGCAAUGGGCGAAAGCCUGACGGAGCAACGCCGCGUGAGUGAAGAAGGUCUUCGGAUCGUAAAACUCUGUUAUUAGGGAAGAACAAAUGUGUAAGUAACUAUGCACGUCUUGACGGUACCUAAUCAGAAAGCCACGGCUAACUACGUG